UCCCUCCUUGAUACAUAUUUACUCACAUAUUGUUACGCCGCCAACUAAUUUUCCGUACUGAUAAAUUCGGAUCACAUUUCUUUAAGACACAGUACGAUGAUUUAGGUGUGGCUGAGCAGGGUCAUAUAGAAGCAGCACAACUAUGUCCUCGACCAUUGGCACAUAACUUCGGUUUCUAUGUAAAUAUUAAAUGCAACGAUGGAAUACAGUGUUUCCCUAGCAUUGGCAUCUGUGACGGCUAUCAAACAUGUGAUGACAAUACGGAUGAAGAUCCAGAAUUCUGUAAAGAUUAUAAGUGGCCUGAAGACUUUGUCAAAUGUCAAGAUGUGUUACAAUGUGUUCAUAAAGAUACAUAUGUAAUGGAUUCUCAGAAGAAUAUGGGAGUUGUAAAGAUGGAUCGGACCAAUCAAGAAUUUUGCAGAGGGUCUUUGGUAACUGACUGCGGUAUGGCUCAUUGUUGAAGGCCUUAUGGUGACCAACAGUUGUUAAUUUCUGCGUCAUUUUGUCUCUUGUAGAGUGCUGUCUCAUUGCCAACAAUACCCCAUCUUCUUUUUUUAUAUUCACUUUUUUGGAUAACUAUUGUUUCCAGCUUUCAAAAAAGUAUGUUUACGACCCUUCACUUCCCAAAUAACCUUUACACAUGCUAUUGAUGACAUUCAUAACAAAGAAAGAAAGAAAAAAACAUUGAGUACCUUUAACCUAUUGUAAAUCAUUAACGAUUGAGGAAGUGAUAGUAUAUAUUGAAGUGCUUGAAAGGACUUGCGAAUUGUAAAGACGGUUUAUAGUGUAUAUCUGAAUAUGCUAUGUGUGAUGGUAGUGUAGACUGUGAUGACAAAUCUGAUGAAUCAGCAGAUUUUUGUUCAGUACUGCAAGAACAGAAACAGCACUUUCUCGUUUUUUAAUGUCAUAUUGUAUUUAAACAGCUAAAGGGAUGACCAUGUAACUUGUUGGAUGAGGAGACAUAAAAAUGAAUAUCUGUCCUUGUGCAUGUACGACCUCGUGCUUAAAAUAACAGAAAUUGCACCAGACAGAUUAAACUGAAUAUUCUGCAACACAAAAGACAGGAAUCAAUCUGUUAAAAUCUGCAAUUUAAUGUUCAAGCGAUAAAGCAAACAAAAAAGAAUGCGUAGUACAUGUAGUAACAGUAGAACAUUGCUUUCUUAACAACAUCACACAAGGUUAUAAUUACUAAAUGCAGAAAAAAUCUGGUUUUUUUUUUCUUCUAAUAUUAAAAAUAUAUGACCUUGAACGAUUUAUAAAAGAUGUUUACAUAAAACGUAAAAAGCAUAUCAUUACAACGCAGAAACGAACGGAAGAUGUACAUGUUCAACGGUUAUCCUUGACUAAUAGCAAAUCGUAUAUAAAGUAUAUCCGCAUUGUGUUAAUUGAACAUCAUUUAUCUACUGUGUGCGUCUGCCGGUUAGAAAAGUAAAAAGAUUGUACAAAAAAGUACAGAGGAAAUUGUUUCCAGCUAAUUGACAUCAUCAAGGAUGAAAGCUGUAACAGUAGUUCUUUUGUUAACCUUACUAUUUUGUGUGGCUGUUGAAGGUGUCAUGUUCACUGUUUAGCAGCUGGAUGCAAGGGGGGUUACUGUGGUUUCUGGUUCAGAUUGAGGUGCAAAUGUACUGGUUGCGUAGGGUGAAUGGAAGAUUUGAUUACAAUAUAGCUCUUCAUGGUACCCUUUAGUAUGCGCAAACCUGUUUAUUUGUUUACUUUCUAUUUUUGUUUUUAAUAUAUGCAAUGUUCUAAACAAAAUACAAAACUGUAAUGUUCUCAACAAUUAUAACUAUUACCAGAAUACACAUUAAAAACCUAUUUAGUUAUAA